rnacentral:rRNA from 1 species
GGGUUGUGAGGUUAAGCGACUAAGCGUACACGGUGGAUGCCCUGGCAGUCAGAGGCGAUGAAGGACGUGCUAAUCUGCGAAAAGCGUCGGUAAGGUGAUAUGAACCGUUAUAGCCGGCGAUGUCCGAAUGGGGAAACCCAGUGCAAUUCGUUGCACUAUCGUUAACUGAAUACAUAGGUUAACGAGGCGAACCGGGGGAACUGAAACAUCUAAGUACCCGGAGGAAAAGAAAUCAACC